UGGGGAAUAUUGGACAAUGGGCGCAAGCCUGAUCCAGCCAUGCCGCGUGAGUGAUGAAGGCCCUAGGGUUGUAAAGCUCUUUCGCCAGGGACGAUAAUGACGGUACCUGGAUAAGAAGCCCCGGCUAACUUCGUGCCAGCAGCCGCGGUAAUACGAAGGGGGCUAGCGUUGUUCGGAAUCACUGGGCGUAAAGCGCACGUAGGCGGAUCUUUAAGUCAGGGGUGAAAUCCCGAGGCUCAACCUCGGAACUGCCUUUGAUACUGGAGGUCUCGAGUCCGGGAGAGGUGAGUGGAACUGCGAGUGUAGAGGUGAAAUUCGUAGAUAUUCGCAAGAACACCAGUGGCGAAGGCGGCUCACUGGCCCGGUACUGACGCUGAGGUGCGAAAGCGUGGGGAGCAAAACAGGAUUAGAUACCCUGGUAGUCCACGCCGUAAACUAUGGAUGCUAGCCGUUGGGCAGCUUGCUGUUCAGUGGCGCAGCUAACGCUUUAAGCAUCCCGCCUGGGGGAGUACGGUCGCAAGAUUAAAACUCAAAUGAAUUGACGGGGUCAUAGCUGUUU
rnacentral:rRNA from 1 species